GACGAACGCUGGCGGCGUGCUUAACACAUGCAAGUCGAGCGAAGUGUUCAAGACAGAUUUCUUCGGAUUGAAGUCUUGAAUAUCUUAGCGGCGAACGGGUGAGUAACGCGUGAGAAACCUGCCUUUCACAAAGGGAUAGCCUCGGGAAACUGGGAUUAAUACCUUAUGAUACUUCAAAUUCGCAUGAAAUUGAAGUUAAAGCGUAAAGCGGUGAAAGAUGGUCUCGCGUCCCAUUAGUUAGUUGGUGAGGUAACGGCUCACCAAGACCGCGAUGGGUAGCCGGCCUGAGAGGGUGAACGGCCACACUGGAACUGAGACACGGUCCAGACUCCUACGGGAGGCAGCAGUGGGGAAUAUUGCACAAUGGAGGAAACUCUGAUGCAGCGACGCCGCGUGAGUGAAGAAGGCCUUCGGUCGUAAACUUUAGUCCUAGGGGACGGAUAAUAGACGGUACCCUACGGUAGGAAGCCCGGCCUAACUACGUG
rnacentral:rRNA from 1 species